ensembl:lncRNA
CUAAAACAUGGUGGAAGCAGGAAAGACAUCACAAGAAUGGUGCCUUCACUUUUCAUCCAACAAAUACCACCUAACUCCCCGUGUCUGUGGAACUCAUGGAAGAUGUACUUGCUCCAGGCCAAAUCUCACUGCAUUUGGUGCUGUAAAACUCUACUCAUCCUUAACUGCUCUGAAGGUUAGUGAGAAAAGAGGUAGAUGCUCAGCAUGUGGAAGCCUCACUUGAUGCCUCCUAGGAGCAGAAAGUUUAACCAUGCUGCCAUACAGCCACCACAAUGCUUGUUGUGCACUGUGUUGAAAUAAAGAAUAUCCAAAACAACAAACGUUGUUCAUUAGGCUGUAUAGGCAAAUGCAGAAGUUAACCUUAAGAACUGGUUAUUUGGUAAGAUACAGUGAUAAAUUAUGUGCCAAAUUUCUUCUGAUAAAAUUCAGAUAGAACCAUGUUCUAAUACAUGUAAAAGGAAUAGCAAACUGGUCAAAUCUUGGGUAACUUAGUACUAAAAAAUGACUGUGAUUGUUGAAUUCAGAUACCCAGUUUCAUGUUCUGGAUUUGUCAGUUUGCUUGCUUGCUCUUUUUCUUCUUUUCUUUUUUUGUUCUCCUCUGAAG